rnacentral:rRNA from 1 species
AGAGUUUGAUCCUGGCUCAGGAUGAACGCUAGCUACAGGCUUAACACAUGCAAGUCGAGGGGCAUCAGGAAGAAAGCUUGCUUUCUUUGCUGGCGACCGGCGCACGGGUGAGUAACACGUAUCCAACCUGCCCUUUACUCGGGGAUAGCCUUUCGAAAGAAAGAUUAAUACCCGAUAGCAUAAUGAUUCCGCAUGGUUUCAUUAUUAAAGGAUUCCGGUAAAGGAUGGGGAUGCGUUCCAUUAGGUUGUUGGUGAGGUAACGGCCCACCAAGCCUUCGAUGGAUAGGGGUUCUGAGAGGAAGGUCCCCCACAUUGGAACUGAGACACGGUCCAAACUCCUACGGGAGGCAGCAGUGAGGAAUAUUGGUCAAUGGGCGCUAGCCUGAACCAGCCAAGUAGCGUGAAGGAUGAAGGCUCUAUGGGUCGUAAACUUCUUUUAUAUAAGAAUAAAGUGCAGUAUGUAUACUGUUUUGUAUGUAUUAUAUGAAUAAGGAUCGGCUAACUCCGUGCCAGCAGCCGCGGUAAUACGGAGGAUCCGAGCGUUAUCCGGAUUUAUUGGGUUUAAAGGGAGCGUAGGUGGACUGGUAAGUCAGUUGUGAAAGUUUGCGGCUCAACCGUAAAAUUGCAGUUGAUACUGUCAGUCUUGAGUACAGUAGAGGUGGGCGGAAUUCGUGGUGUAGCGGUGAAAUGCUUAGAUAUCACGAAGAACUCCGAUUGCGAAGGCAGCUCACUGGACUGCAACUGACACUGAUGCUCGAAAGUGUGGGUAUCAAACAGGAUUAGAUACCCUGGUAGUCCACACAGUAAACGAUGAAUACUCGCUGUUUGCGAUAUACAGUAAGCGGCCAAGCGAAAGCAUUAAGUAUUCCACCUGGGGAGUACGCCGGCAACGGUGAAACUCAAAGGAAUUGACGGGGGCCCGCACAAGCGGAGGAACAUGUGGUUUAAUUCGAUGAUACGCGAGGAACCUUACCCGGGCUUAAAUUGCAGUGGAAUGAUGUGGAAACAUGUCAGUGAGCAAUCA